GCGGGAAUAUGACAAUAAGACGAGAAGACCCUAUGGAGCUUUAAUUAACCGACCCAAAGAGAUCUUGAUAAUCAACCGACAGGGAUAACAUACCUCUACCAUGGGCCGACAAUUUAGGUUGGGGUGACCUCGGAGAAUAAAACAACCUCCGAGUGAUUUAAAUCUAGACUAACUAGUCGAAAGUACUACAUCACUUAUUGAUCCAAAAACUUGAUCAACGGAACAAGUUACCCUAGGGAUAACAGCGCAAUCCUAUUUUAGAGUCCAUAUCGACAAUAGGAUUGCGCUGUUAUCCCUAGGGUAACUUGUUCCGUUGAUCAAGUUUUUGGAUCAAUAAGUGAUGUAGUACUUUCGACUAGUUAGUCUAGAUUUAAAUCACUCGGAGGUUGUUUUAUUCUCCGAGGUCACCCCAACCUAAAUUGUCGGCCCAUGGUAGAGGUAUGUUAUCCCUGUCGGUUGAUUAUCAAGAUCUCUUUGGGUCGGUUAAUUAAAGCUCCAUAGGGUCUUCUCGUCUUAUUGUCAUAUUCCCGCCUCUUCACGGGAAGGUCAAUUUCACGGAUUGGAAGUAAGAGACAGUAAAGCCCUCGA
rnacentral:rRNA from 1 species